GGAAAGACACGCACCGAUCAUGAGGAAUCUGCUGGCCUUUUGUUUUAUCUUUUGCCUCGCCGUCUCGACGGUCCUCGCCAAUGGUAUUGGCGGAGGCGUGGGAGGCGGCAUUGGUUUGGGCGACGGUGGUGGCUUCGGAUCCGGAGGUGGCUUUGGUGGUGGCUGCGGCGGUGGCCUUGGCGGCGGAUGUGGUGGCGGCUACGGUGGCUCUGACACUGGUCCCUAUGAUGGAAAUUACGGAGGAUACCGUGGCGGUCACUUCGGUUGAUAUGGCCUGAGGUGUAACAUCGCUGCGAACGACAACGCAAGGAAAAGAUAAUUAAACGGUACAAAAACAUGUACUUAGAUCGGAAUAAACAACUUCCAC